UAGGCAUCCCGUCCUUAAUUGGUC
rnacentral:siRNA from 1 species